rnacentral:RNase_P_RNA from 1 species
AUAGCAGGUCGUUCUAUCGCUAAUUUUAUAAUUAGAGGAAAGUCCGGGCAACAUAGGGUAACGUGCUUCCUAACGGGAAGAUAUCCGUAAGGGUGUUGUAGCGUAACAGAGAAUAACCGUUCUGCUUGCAGAAUAAGGGUGAAAAGGCGGGGUAAGAGCCCACCGGUAUCUCGGGUGAUCGAGGUAGCCGUACGUCACACGUGUUGCAAGGCCAUGUAUAUCGACAAUUAAGGUUGACCCGACCAAUGUCGAGGGGUAGGCUGCUAGAGCUGCGAAGUGAUUCGUAGCCGAGAUAAAUGAUAGAGACCGAAAGGUACAGAACCCGGCUUAUAGACCAGCUAUACUU